UUUGCUUGUAUGAAUAUGCAGCACUAAAACAUAAUACUAAACAUAUUAAAUGUGAGUCCUGCUUUAUUAGGUAAUAAACCUGUGUCAAAGACAGACCUUCAUUGUGAUAAGAGGUUGAUUUGGUGAAUAUAGAGGGUGUGCUUCCAUGCUCACAAUGAUACUUUGCAUUGAAAAAAACAACCAUAAAAACUCAAUGUAAUAAUAAACUUAAUGGAACAAAAAUAAAUAUUUUACCCUCUUUAGGAAAUGCAGUUUGUUUUUUUAGUUCUAAUAAAAAAUGUCCCGACAGCUGUGAUGGAGAUGGACUCAUCCUGAGGACGGCUACUAUGUUCCAAAUGUUUUUACUAAAUAACCUGUAAAUCUGUGUGAAACAGCAAAACCGAGUGAAAUGUAGAAAUGUCUGAAGGUACCGUUAGACCCUCACUGAUCCUGUUGUCAUGUCGGGAGAUUUAAAGAGGCCUCAUCAAUGAAGUUUCAGAUGCUGUGCCAACGUGCGUAAAAUGCGCACAGCGCCUCUUUCAAUGUGGAGACGCAUAAAGCUAUCGGUCCUGCUGCUGUGUGAUGACUACAAUCAUUUAAUAAACUCAAAGGUUAAAAACAGUCCCUUUAAGUUCUUAAGCCACUUUAGACUCGUAGUAAACCUGCAAAAUGUUGCUGAACGUAAAGUUCAGGUGUUUUUCAUUUGUUCAUUUUCUUUGGAUGACCAACACAGACAAAAAACAACUAUAUUUGGAUCAACAUAUAAAAUCAGUUGAGCCAACUUACUGUAUAUUGUCAGGCUAUAGGGAGAAAAUGAGAACUCAUCAGUGCUUGUCCCCUGAUUUAUACAUCAAACAAAGCAUUUCAUACAACACAUGAGAGGAGUACAGUCUACAAUUAUCAUUUUUUUUAUUUUUAUUUCCAACAGGAGAUAAAUGGUACAUAUUUACAACAGGAGAAGGUAGCUGAAGGUGGGCCUCACAGACCCAGAUCAGCCACAGAUGCCCAGCCCCAGCUCUCUAAGAAGACGAGGAAAAACUCCCCAUGAACAUUAGAACAGCAUAAAGGACAUGGGAAGAAACCUCGGGAAAGGCAAUUCAAAGAGAGAUCCCCUCUCCUCAGACGGCUGGGUGUGUGUGUGUGAGG